rnacentral:rRNA from 1 species
GCAUGUACAGUUUGCCGCAGUAAGCACAGUUGAUCCCAUCUGAUUUCAGAAGCUAAGCAGGGUCAGGCCUGGUGAAUACUUGGAUGGGGACCUCGUGUGGAAUGCAUACUUUUGCCUGAU